UCUUCUUAAUAAAUAAGGAAAUUUAUACAUCUCUAAUUUUGGCCUUUUACCCAAAUUCAAUUAUAAAAUCCCAAAGUAAAUGACCAGCCCAUCCCUGACAAGCCCUCAACAUUCUCCAUAUAUUCAUGUCCCUUACGAUUAGGGUUUCCUCAUCCGCCGCUCCAUUUAGCUCCCCUUUCCUUUAACCUAAUAACCUGAAAUGCUCCCGCCUUGGAUGAAUCAAAACUUUACCUCCUUAUCUAGGUCAUUAACAAUGUUGCUUUAAUCUUGGAUCGAACUUGUUCUUCAUUUAAUCUGAGAUCUCAAUUCAGGUUAAAGGUAUACCAAUUAAAUUUUUUACCUCGAACUUACAGACGACAAUAUCUUCAAAUUUCUUAUAGAAAUUUCGAUUUAGUUAGUCGUUUAAAUAGAUGGACAAAUGACAAUCAUAGUUGAAGGAGCUUGUCAUGAGGCAAAUGAUUAAAAAUUUUCAGGAUCCGAACUCGAGGAUUGACGAAAUGAUCAAUGACGCGUUGAAGGUUCAAGGUGGAAUGGAACCCGAACAAUAUUUUGAUGUAGCUCCUUAUGAAGAAGGAAGGCGCUUAUAUGAUCACAUAUAAGAGUCUAGUCAUCCUCUAUGUGAAGGGAAUAUGAACACAAUAGGGUUCAUGAAAUGAUCAAUGGUGCUUAUAAGGUUCAAGGUGGGAUGGAACCCGAACAAUAUUUUGAUGAAGCUCCUAAUGAAGAAGGAAGACGCUUGUAUGAUCACAUAGAAGAGUCUAGUUGUCCUCUAUGUGAAGGGAGUCCGCAUUCUGCUUUGUUGAUUGUUGUUAGAUUGAUGUAUAUGAUCACAUAGAAGAGUCUAGUCAUCCUCUAUGUGAAGUGAGUCCGCAUUUUUAUCUAAGAGUUGUCAAUUGACUCUCUUACGACAAGUAUAUAUUUUCCCCAUGGAUCUUGCAGGUACAAGAAUCAACAAAAUAUUUAGAAA